GGCUACCGUCACAUAGCACUCCUGUCUCCCGUUUGACUUCAUAUAGUGAAAAUUGUCUAAAAGAUAAGGCAGGAGCUCUGGUUGACACCCCCCCUGCCCCCGCCUCAUAGAUCUCUCUCUAGAAGCAUUGGAAGAGGCCGUCUCAAAAAAGAAAAAUAAAAUAGAAGCAUUGGAGGAAAGAUGUGGUUUGUAGUGAAACAAAUUGGAAGUCAAGCUCAGCCUCAACCACUUACUUGCUUCUGACCUUGGGAAUCCUGCUUUGUGUAGUUCAGUGCCUGCUGCCAAGUCAGAGCUGUGACCUCAAUGAAAGUGGCCCAGCCACAGCAAACCUCAGUUUCCAUAACAGUCCUGGGAUCCAAUGUGGCUUUCACACUACAUGUCACUUCACUCUGUUAUCUCUGACAGAAAACCAACUCAAACUGGCUUAAGCAAAAAGGGUACUCACUGGGCCAUGUAACCAAAAAGUGUAGGCAUACAUGUGGCUUCAGGAAUGGCUGGAUCCAGGCACUCACAUGUGGCAUCGGGAGUCCCUCUCCUGGCUGUUGGUUUCAGUUUUCUCUGCAGGGGUUUCAUUCAAGCACUGGUUCCCUCCUCAUAGUGGCAAGGUGGCUGCCCAGGACAAGAGGCUUAUAGCCACGGGCUCAGCUACUUAAGGAUAAGUUCCAUCAGAAGCCCAAGUUGAGGCCGGGCUUGGUGCUCACACCUGUAAUCCCAGCACUUUGGGUGGCCGAGGUGGGUGGAUCACUUGAGGUCAGGAGUUCGAGACCAGCCUGGCCAACACAGUGAAACCCUGUCUCUACUUAAAAAAAAACAAAACAAAACAAAAAAAAAAACCAUGAAAAUUAGCUGGGUGUGGUGGCACGUGCCUGUAAUCCCAGCUACUUGCAAGGCUGAGGCAGGAGAAUCACUUGAACCUGGCAGGCGGAAGUUGCAGUGAGACGAGAUCACGUCAUUGUACUCCAGUCUGGGCAACAGAACGAGACUUCGUUGGCAAUGACUGGGUCAUCUGUCCAGUCCUGAACCGGUCACUGUGUCAGGUAGAAGCAUUGUUUGAUUGGCCAGGCCUGGGACACACGGCCAUCUCCAGACCUAGGAAUGGCAUCAUCUCUACCCAAACCCCGUGAACCAAGAGUUGGGGAGGAGCAAAGCUUCAGAGAAAACUCUGGGCCCUGUCAUCAAGCAGAGGAGGAAAGGAGGCCACACAGACUGAGACAUCAAGUACCCACUGUGCCCUCACCACCAGCUCCCGCCCUGGCCAGUGCACUCCUGGACCAUCUCUCCUCCCCGUCUUGUUCACAGUCACCCUCUCACCCCAGCAGAGAUCAGGCCAGGGUACUGGUGGCAAGUGAGUGAAGGGUUUCAGCAAGGGGGUCCCCACCUUCCAGGCACAGUGUAAGUGGACCCCCCACACUUGGGGGCUCUCCUGGGUUGCACAGUGUCCUCUGAAAAUUCACAUCCACCUGGAACCUGCAAAUAUGACCUUAUUUGGAAAUGGAGUCUUUGCAGAUGUUGUCAAGAUAAGAUGAAGUCAUACUGUUUUAGGAUGGGCCCUCUAUAUGGCACGACUGGGGUUCUUAUACGAAGAGGGACCCUGGCACACAGAUGCAUACAGGGAGAGUGCUGUGUGAUGAGAAAGGCAGAGAUUGCAGUGAUGCUGCCACCAGCCAAGGAGUCACCAUCAGCCAGGAGAUGGGCAUGGAUCUGAUUCUCCCUGGGAACCUCCAGAAGGAGCCAACCCUGCCAACACCUUGGUUUUGGACUUCUGUUCCCCGCAACUGUGAGACAAUACAUUCUGUGGUUUUAAGCUUUAUGAUAAUUUGUUACUGUAGCCCUGGGAAAGGAAUACAAGGGUAGACAGACACUGAUCAAGUAAGCAAACAAAUGUGAAAUUGCCCUGUGACAAGGGAGGUGCGGGGUGCCUGUGUUGGGGAAGAAUUCUCUGAGACUUGAAGUCAGAGAAGGAGUUAGCUAAUGGGGCCGACAGGGUUCUGCACACGCAGCUCACGGCCCAGAUCUUGUUGGCCAAGUGUUUUUGCAGGGAUUAGGAACUAAGAAUGGUUUUGCAAGAAGAACAUCACAGGCUGAGGGGACAGCAUGGGCAAAGGCCAUGAAGUGGGAGGCGCCCUCUGUGAAACCAACAAGCUUUCAGCCACGUGGGUCUCUCUGACGCGUUGCCUCAGCCACAGAGGGCUUUAAAAAGCCCCGAAACUGGACAGGUGUCACUGCCUGUGGCAGUAGCGGCCAUUUGGCGCCUGUGGUUUCAACUCCACCCGUUUCACAUGUCUAUGUUACCAGACUGGCCCCUGAAGGGGAUCUGUGUGCCAGGCCCUGACCUGCCGGGCUUUGGAAACAUCCUCGACAGUGUCCCCUGACCUGCGCCCCGCCUUGUGGAGUGAGGCCUGGUUGCCCAAGCUGGCUGGGCCGGGCUGUUUGUUGCUUCCAACAAACAUAGGAGAGAACGUAUGGCUGCUUUUUAUUGCCAGUGAGAGUUCCGCGAGGCCUGGCCCGAGAUGUGGCUGGCGUGAGGGGUCCCGGACCUGCUGUGCUGGGGACGCACCCAGUUCUGUGUCGCUUGGUCCAGUGAGGACUCGAGCCCCUUGGAGGCGGGGCCUCGGGCUGCAGGGGCGGGGCCCCGAGCCGCCUGGGGGUGGGGCCUCAGGCUCUUUGGGGGCGGGGCCUCAAGCUGUCUGGGGACGGAGCCUCCGGCCGGCUGGGGGCGGGGCCUCAUGCCUAAGGGGCGGGGCCUCGAGCUUUCUGGGGGUGGGGUCUCAAGCUUCAGGGUCGGGGCCUGGAGCCGCCUGGGGACGGGGCGAUCUGUUGGGGAGGAGGUUCUCGAACUGCUGAGGAGGAUCGCAGUGCUUUUGCUUCCUCUAGGAGACCAGCUGCACAGGCUGGAACAUGCCAUCUCUAUGCCUGUUUUCCCGUCGAUAAAUCCAGAGACAUUACUCUCAUCAUUUCUUCCUCUGUACACAAUAUUCAUAUAUGUAACCCCUUGGUAAAGCAGUUGUAAGAAUUAAACAAGAGGAAUUGCUCUUUCAUUCAGCAAAUAUUUUUUGAGCAGCUACUAGAUGCCAGGCACUGUUUUAGACGCAAGUGAUACUUCAGGAAACAUAAUCAGACAGACAGACAGACAUGCCCUCCUGGAACUGACAUUGUAGAACAAGGGUCCGCAUCCUGUGGCUCACAGGCCAGAUCUGGUUGACCGUCUAUUUUUGCAUGGACGUUAAACUAAGAAUGAUUUUUGCAUUUUGAUUUUUAUUUUAUGAAAAAAAAAAUUGAGGGCUGGGCGCGGUGGCUCAAGCCUGUAAUCCCAGCAUUUUGGGAGGCCAAGGUGGGUGGAUCACCUGAGGUCAGGAGUUCAAGACCGCCCUGGCCAACAUGGGGAAACCCUGUCUCUACUAAAAAUACAAAAAUUAGCCGCCAUGGUUGUGGGCACCUGUAAUCCCAGCUACUUGGGAGGCUGAGGCAGGAGAAUCGCUUGAACCCGGGAGGUGGAGGUUGCAGUGAGCCGAGAUGGCGCUACUGCACUCCAGCCUGGGCAACAAGAGUGAAACUUUGUCUCAAAAAUAAUAAAAUUAAAAUAAAAUAAAAAAGAGUGGUCUCUGGAACAAUAGCUCAGUAUCACCUGGACAUCUGUUAGAAAUCCAGACCUACUGAACCAGAAUCUGUAUUUUAGCAAGACCCCCAGGUGAUCUGUGUGUACAUUAAAGUGUGAGAUGUUUUUGUAGCAACACGCAUGGAACUAGAGGUCAUUAUCUUAAGUGAAAUAAGCCAGAUACAGAAAGACAAAUAUUGCAUGUUCUCACUCCCAAGUGGGUGCUAAAAAAUGCAUACACAUGGCUCCACAGA
rnacentral:lncRNA from 1 species